AAAUCUUCCUAUCCUAGUUACCUAGUUACCUGGUCGCCUAGUCACCUGCGCGCGGAGCGCGUAACGCGGCGAACGGGUGAGUAACGCGUGGGAACGUACCGCCGAGAUGGGGACAACUCCGCGAAAGCGGAGCUAAUACCCAAUGGUUCCCGCCACAUUCUUGAAUGUGGCGGGAUAAAGGAGCAAUCCGCUCGGUGAGCGGCCCGCGUCCUAUCAGCUAGUUGGUGGGGUAAUGGCCUACCAAGGCGAUGACGGGUAGGGGGUGUGAGAGCAUGAUCCCCCACAAUGGCACUGAGACAAGGGCCAUACACCUACGGGUGGCAGCAAUCAGGAAUCUUGCGCAAUGGGCGAAAGCCUGACGCAGCGACGCCGCGUGGAGGAUGAAGGUCGUGAGAUUGUAAACUCCUAGCCUUGUGCGUAGCACAAGCGUAAUUGGUAAAUAGUAAAUGGUAAUUGGGAUAUAAACCAUCAAAUACCCUAAUUGCGAAUUACAAAUUACGAAUUACCCUCGUGCUACGCGCGAGGGGAUAAAGUCCCGGCUAACUACGUGCCAGCAGCAGCGGUAAAACGUAGGGGGCAAGCGUUAUCCGGAUUUAUUGGGCGUAAAGAGUGCGCAGGCGGCCAGAUAAGUUUUUCGUUAAAGCCCCCCGCUCAACGGGGGAACUGCGGAGAAUACUGUUUGGCUGGAGGAAGGUAGAGGCUGUUGGAACUCGGGGAGGAGGGGUGAAAUCCUAUGAUCCCCCAAGGAACACCGAAGGCGAAGGCAGACAGCUGGGCCUUUUCUGACGCUAAGGCACGAAAGCUAGGGGAGCAAAACGGAUUAGAUACCCGUGUAGUCCUAGCCGUAAACGAUCCUCGCUAGAUUUUGGCAUCUGUCAGAGUCGAAGCUAACGCAUUAAGCGAGGCGCCUGGGAAGUACGGCCGCAAGGCUAAAACUCAAAGGAAUUGACGGGGACCCGCACAAGCGGUGGAGCGCCUGGUUUAAUUCGAUGAUAACCGAAGAACCUUACCAGGGCUUGACAUCCCGAUAGAAAUCCCGACGAAAAUUGGGCCCCCCGCAAGGGCUGUCGGGACAGGUGUUGCAUGGCUGUCGUCAGCUCGUGCCGUGAGGUGUAUGCUUAAGUGCCGAAACGAGCGCAACCCCUACCCCAUGUUAGAAAUGUCGUGGGGGACUGCCUCCGUAAGGGGGAGGAAGGUGGGGACGACGUCAAGUCAGUAUGGCCCUUAUGCCCUGGGCAACACAGACGCUACAAUGGCGGCUACAACGGGUUGCAAUGUCGUAAGGCGGAGCUAAUCCUUAAAAAGCCGUCUCAGUUCGGAUUGGGGGCUGAAACUCGCCCCCAUGAAGUUGGAAUCGCUAGUAAUGGCCGGUCAGCUAUACGGCCGUGAAUACGUUCUCGGGUCUUGUACACACCGCCCGUCAACUGGGGAAAGUUGGAGCCAGCCGAAGCCCCCCGCCUAGCGGGGGAUCAAGCUGGAGCCAGUAAUCAACAGU
rnacentral:rRNA from 1 species